GUGAGGAAUAUUGCGCAAUGGAGGCAACUCUGACGCAGCCAUGCCGCGUGCAGGAAGAAGGCGCUACGCGUUGUAAACUGCUUUUAACCGGGAAGAAACCCCAGGACGUGUCCUGGGUUGACGGUACCGGAGGAAUAAGCACCGGCUAACUUCGUGCCAGCAGCCGCGGUAAUACGAAGGGUGCCAGCGUUAUCCGGAUUCAUUGGGUUUAAAGGGUGCGUAGGCGGAUCGUUAAGUCAGUGGUGAAAUCCUGCAGCUUAACUGUAGACUUGCCAUUGAUACUGGCGCUCUUGAGUGCGCUUGAAGUGGGCGGAAUGUGCCGUGUAGCGGUGAAAUGCUUAGAUAUGGCACAGAACACCAAUUGCGAAGGCAGCUCACUAAGGCGAUACUGACGCUGAGGCACGAAAGCGUGGGGAUCGAACAGGAUUAGAAACCCCUGUAGUCC
rnacentral:rRNA from 1 species